CCAAACUGGGAUUAGAUACCCCACUAUGCCUAGCCCUAAACCCAAAUAGUUACAUAACAAAACUAUUCGCCAGAGUACUACUCGCAACUGCCUAAAACUCAAAGGACUUGGCGGUGCUUCACAUCCACCUAGAGGAGCCUGUUCUAUAAUCGAUAAACCCCGAUAGACCUUA
rnacentral:rRNA from 1 species